CCCCAGUUAGAUCUUAAGCUCACUGAGGGCCUCUGCCUGAUGAUCUCCAGCUGGCACUCUCAGCCCUGGCACCAAGCACAGUUCCUGGGACCCAGAGGAACGUCUGGAGGGAACCCAGGCUUUAAAAUUGGCAUACAGAAGAAGGGAAGUGGCUUCGGGGACUCCAAGCUGGACUGGAGCUGGCUGGCUGGCUGGCUGGCUCUGGAAAGGUGGGGCCCUGCAGAGAGGCAGGCGCCAGGCAGACCUUGCCUACCACCUUUUGAGCUCCUUGGUCGGAGAGGACCUCCCACCCCAGGUGGAAGACGAGGAUUCAGACCCAGGAGCGAGGCACGAACGUCCACUCGGGGAACCAUUUUGCCAGACUGGUCUUGGAGCCAGAGCACCAGCCUCAAACCUGCCUCCGCCAUGACCUGGCUGUUCAUCUCAGGACUCAGCCGCCUCCUCUGGAAGAUGGGAGAAUACCUUCUGCUCUGUAGGCAGGUCGGAGGACUGAAUGGCCUGACCCAGGGCCUGCCCCUCUGGUUCCAGCUCUCAUCACUACCCCCCACCCAGCCAUCCCCAUACUGGAAGCUCCAGCUGAGCUGAAUGACCUGCAGCUCAGGCUUUGCUCUUGCCACCUUCUCUUGGCUACCCUGGGGUCCGGACUUUCAGGUCAACUCAACAGACCAUUUCUUGCCAGAUUAAGCAUAGUUUGCCUCUCAAUUCAAAUGGCAGCUGGAAAUAAAAGCCCGCCCUGACCUUAGCAGUAUGGCAUGAAGGUUAAGAAACUUUGACUCCAUCAAAUUUCAGCUCUGUCACUUUUACUGUGUAACCUUGGGCAAAUCUCUUUAUCUCUCUGAGCCUCUCCUUCCAAAUCUGUAAAAUGGAUGUAGUGACAGCACCCAAAGAGUUGUAUGAGGACUGGUGAGAGAAUGCAUAUGGACUAUGGUGAGCUCCAGCAAAUGGUAGCUAUCACUUUUA
rnacentral:lncRNA from 1 species